CCUACGGGAGGCAGCAGUGGGGAAUAUUGGACAAUGGGGGCAACCCUGAUCCAGCCAUGCCGCGUGUGUGAAGAAGGCCCUCGGGUUGUAAAGCACUUUCAGUGAGGAAGAACGCCUGGUGGUUAAUACCCAUCAGGAAAGACAUCACUCACAGAAGAAGCACCGGCUAACUCCGUGCCAGCAGCCGCGGUAAUACGGAGGGUGCGAGCGUUAAUCGGAAUUACUGGGCGUAAAGCGCGCGUAGGUGGCUUGAUAAGCCGGUUGUGAAAGCCCCGGGCUCAACCUGGGAACGGCAUCCGGAACUGUCAAGCUAGAGUGCAGGAGAGGAAGGUAGAAUUCCAGGUGUAGCGGUGAAAUGCGUAGAGAUCGGGAGGAAUACCAGUGGCGAAGGCGGCCUUCUGGACUGACACUGACACUGAGGUGCGAAAGCGUGGGUAGCAAACAGGAUUAGAUACCCCGGUAGUC
rnacentral:rRNA from 1 species